UGAGUAACGACAAAACGGGUGAAAAACCCGUUCGCCGAAAGACCAAGGGUUCCAGUCCAACGUUAAUCGGGGCUGGGUGAGUCGACCCCUAAGGCGAGGCCGAAAGGCGUAGUCGAUGGGAAAAUGGUUAAUAUUCCAUUACUUCUGUGUAAUGCGAUGAGAGGACGGAGAAGGCUAAAUCAGCCUGGCGUUGGUUGUCCAGGUGAAAGGAUGUAGGCAUGUAUCUUAGGCAAAUCCGGGGUACUCUAUGCUGAGAUCUGAUAGCAAGCUGUACUUGUACAGCGAAGUGGUUGAUGCCAUGCUUCCAGGAAAAGUCUCUAAGCUUCAGUUACACAGGAAUCGUACCCGAAACCGACACAGGUGGUCAGGUCGAGUAGACCAAGGCGCUUGAGAGAACUCUGCUGAAGGAACUAGGCAAAAUGGUACCGUAACUUCGGGAGAAGGUACGCUGUUGUUGGUGAUGGAACUCGCUUCCUGAGCUGACGACAGCCGCAGAAACCAGGCCGCUGCAACUGUUUAUUAAAAACAUAGCACUCUGCAAACACGAAAGUGGACGUAUAGGGUGUGAUGCCUGCCCGGUGCUGGAAGGUUAAUUGAUGGGGUUAGCGUAAGCGAAGCUCUUGAUCGAAGCCCCAGUAAACGGCGGCCGUAACUAUAACGGUCCUAAGGUAGCGAAAUUCCUUGUCGGGUAAGUUCCGACCUGCACGAAUGGCAUAAUGAUGGCGGCGCUGUCUCCAGCAGAGGCUCAGUGAAAUCGAAAUCGCUGUGAAGAUGCAGUGUACCCGCGGCUAGACGGAAAGACCCCGUGAACCUUUACUGCAGCUUGACACUGAACUUUGACCUUACUUGUGUAGGAUAGGUGGGAGGCUUUGAAGCUGGAACGCUAGUUCCAGUGGAGCCGUCCUUGAAAUACCACCCUGGUAAUGUUGAGGUUCUAACUCUGUCCCGUGAUCCGGGACGAGGACCGUGUCUGGUGGGUAGUUUGACUGGGGCGGUCUCCUCCUAAAGAGUAACGGAGGAGUACGAAGGUGCGCUCAGCGUGGUCGGAAAUCACGCGUAGAGUAUAAAGGCAAAAGCGCGCUUAACUGCGAGACCCACAAGUCGAGCAGGUACGAAAGUAGGUCUUAGUGAUCCGGUGGUUCUGUAUGGAAGGGCCAUCGCUCAACGGAUAAAAGGUACUCUGGGGAUAACAGGCUGAUACCGCCCAAGAGUUCAUAUCGACGGCGGUGUUUGGCACCUCGAUGUCGGCUCAUCUCAUCCUGGGGCUGAAGCAGGUCCCAAGGGUAUGGCUGUUCGCCAUUUAAAGAGGUACGCGAGCUGGGUUUAGAACGUCGUGAGACAGUUCGGUCCCUAUCUACCGUGGGCGCUGGAAAUUUGAGAGGAUCUGCUCCUAGUACGAGAGGACCAGAGUGGACGAACCUCUGGUGUACCGGUUGUGACGCCAGUCGCAUCGCCGGGUAGCUAUGUUCGGAAGGGAUAACCGCUGAAAGCAUCUAAGCGGGAAGCCUACCUCAAGAUAAGAUUUCCCUAGGACUUUAUGUCCUCUAAAGAGCCGUUCGAGACUAGGACGUUGAUAGGUUGGAUGUGGAAGCAUAGUGAUAUGUGAAGCUGACCAAUACUAAUUGCUCGUGAGGCUUGACUAU
rnacentral:rRNA from 2 species